UACAGAGGUCCCAAGCGUUGUUCGGAUUCAUUGGGCGUAAAGGGUGCGUAGGUGGCGUCGUAAGUCGGGUGUGAAAUCUCGGGGCUUAACUCCGAAACUGCAUUCGAUACUGCGGUGCUUGAGGACUGGAGAGGAGACUGGAAUUUACGGUGUAGCAGUGAAAUGCGUAGAGAUCGUAAGGAAGACCAGUGGCGAAGGCGGGUCUCUGGACAGUUCCCGACACUGAGGCACGAAGGCCAGGGGAGCAAACGGG
rnacentral:rRNA from 1 species